rnacentral:lncRNA from 1 species
GCGCCGCCAUGUCGGUUGAGGGCAGAGAAAAGAGCGGGCGCCGCCGUAUUGAGGGCGGUGAGAAAGGGGUGUGGGCGCCGCCAUGUUGGUUGAGGGCGGUGAGCCGCCAUGUUGGUUGAGGGCGGAGAGGGAGGGGAGCCGCCAUGUUGGUUGAGGUCAGGGGGCGUGGCUUGCACAGGAAGGGCAGUCUGGAUUUUCCACCGUGGCGUGGGGACAUCGCUAUGGGGCAGUGCCCUCGCUAUGGGGCAGAGACGCCAUUGCUCUGGGGCAGCGCAGUCGCUAUGGGGCAGAAACGCCAUCGCUAUGGGGCAGCGCAGUCGCUAUGGGGCAGAGACGCCAUUGCUAUGGGGCAGCACCAUCGCUAUGGGGCAGUGCCCUCGCUAUGGGGCGGCGCAGUCGCUAUGGGGCAGAGACGCCAUCGCUAUGGGGCAGAGACGCCAUCGCUAUGGGGCAGAGACGCCAUCGCUAUGAGGCGGCGCAGUCGCUAUGGGGCAGAGACGCCAUCGCUAUGAGGC